rnacentral:rRNA from 1 species
GACGAACGCGGCGGCGUGCCUAAUACAUGCAAGUAGAACGCUGAAGGAGGAGCUUGCUUCUCUGGAUGAGUUGCGAACGGGUGAGUAACGCGUAGGUAACCUGCCUGGUAGCGGGGGAUAACUAUUGGAAAUGAUAGCUAAUACCGCAUAAGAGUAGAUGUUGCAUGACAUUUGCUUAAAAGGUGCAAUUGCAUCACUACCAGAUGGACCUGCGUUGUAUUAGCUAGUUGGUGGGGUAACGGCUCACCAAGGCGACGAUACAUAGCCGACCUGAGAGGGUGAUCGGCCACACUGGGACUGAGACACGGCCCAGACUCCUACGGGAGGCAGCAGUAGGGAAUCUUCGGCAAUGGACGGAAGUCUGACCGAGCAACGCCGCGUGAGUGAAGAAGGUUUUCGGAUCGUAAAGCUCUGUUGUAAGAGAAGAAACGAGUGUGAGAAGUGGAAAGGUUCAAC